CCCAGGGUCCCUAGGACAGCCCUCCUGGGGCGGCUGUCCUAAGACCUUGGUUUUGUGUCUAUCUCUGCUUUGAUCUCUUUCAUGCCCACAGUGACUUAGCUUAGGACAAGCCACACCUACAUUCCCAGCUGAGGAGUCCCCGUUUGCAGCUCAGAGAACAGAGGGGGCACCACUGGACUCAGCAGUUGACCAGCUCUCACUGCUCAGCGGACUGACCAGGCAGCGGAGCUGAAAGAAAACUCUGGACUUCUGAGUCUGACCUAGGAGGGUCUGGCUAGCUGCCAUGAUCUCCACCUGACACUUCCAGAGCAUCUGUGGGUAUCCACUGUCACAUGGACCAUCCCGGAACUCCGCCAACGAGGUGGUCCAGAUCUGGAUCCUGUAGGCUUUUCUGUGUUAUGAGUGGUCACAUUGGUGAUGGGUACCCUUGUCAUGGUGGUAAGGCCAAGCCUACCCUUUUUAAAGAAAAAGAACCUUCCAAAGCC